AAACCUGAGAGUUUGAUCCUGGCUCAGAACGAACGCUGGCGGCAGGCUUAACACAUGCAAGUCGAACGCACUCUUCGGAGUGAGUGGCAGACGGGUGAGUAACGCGUGGGAAUCUACCCAUCUCUACGGGAUAGCUCCGGGAAACUGGAAUUAAUACCGUAUACGUCCUGAGGGAGAAAGAUUUAUCGGGGAUGGAUGAGCCCGCGUUGGAUUAGCUGGUUGGUGGGGUAAUGGCCUACCAAGGCGACGAUCCAUAGCUGGUCUAAGAGGAUGAUCAGCCACAUUGGGACUGAGACACGGCCCAAACUCCUACGGGAGGCAGCAGUGGGGAAUAUUGGACAAUGGGCGCAAGCCUGAUCCAGCCAUGCCGCGUGAGUGAUGAAGGCCCUAGGGUUGUAAAGCUCUUUCAGUGGGGACGAUAAUGACGGUACCCACAGAAGAAGCCCCGGCUAACUUCGUGCCAGCAGCCGCGGUAAUACGAAGGGGGCUAGCGUUGUUCGGAAUUACUGGGCGUAAAGCGUACGUAGGCGGACAUUUAAGUCAGGGGUGAAAUCCCGGGGCUCAACCCCGGAACUGCCUUUGAUACUGGAUGUCUUGAGUCCGGAAGAG
rnacentral:rRNA from 1 species